AAAAAAACAAAAAACUCAAAUCAAAUUACACAAGAUAAAUUGAGCAUAGUGUAGCAAUCAAGAGACAAGGCCCUAAUAAAUGAUGAGUUUACAAAAAAUUUUGCAUCUCUAUAAAUAUGAAUAACCAAAACCUCCCAAUCCUUUAAGAAGGGUUGCUUACUUGAGGCCACAAGUGAACUAUAGCAACCAAGCGGAGAGUCACUGCCACUAAUCAUCACAACCAUGUUGAACACAUUUAGGUUUUCGGUACUCUUUCUCCAAGUUGAGACCCUCAAACACAACCCAUAACUCAAGCGCCAGCAGCUCAACAUUCCUCAAAGGGACAAAAGGUCAAUUUGACCCUUCAUUUAUAAAUGCAAUAACUGGAUUGAAA
rnacentral:misc_RNA from 1 species